rnacentral:lncRNA from 1 species
UCGGAGUUGGAGCUUGGCCGGAAGUGGGACCGGUGCCUGGCGGAUGUGGUCGUGAAGAUAGGCACUGGUUUUGGAUUAGGAAUUGUCUUCUCACCUUCUUUAAAAGAAGAAUGUGGCCAUUAGCCUUCCGUUCUGGCAUGGGAUUAGGAAUGGCUUACUCCAACUGUCACAUGAUUUCCAGGCUCCAUAUCUUCUACACGGAA